CCGGGGGAGGUGGACAGUCUGCCUAUCUGAGAGCUCCGGGGGAGGUGGACAGUCUGCCUAUCUGAGAGCCCCGGGGGAGGUGGACAGUCUGCCUAUCUGAGAGCCCCGGGGGAGGUGGACAGUCUGCCUAUCUGAGAGCCCCGGGGGAGGUGGACAGUCUGCCUAUCUAAGAACCCAGUCGAUGGACAGUCUGCCUAUCUGAGAGCCCAGUCGGGUGGACAGUCUGCCUAUCUGAGAGCCCAGUCGGGUGGACAGUCUGCCUAUCUGAGAGCCCAGUCGGGUGGACAGUCAGCCUAUCUGAGAACCCAGUCGGGUGGACAGUCUGCCUAUCUGAGAACCCAGUCGGGUGGACAGUCUGCCUAUCUGAGAGCUCCG
ensembl:lncRNA